rnacentral:lncRNA from 1 species
GGAUUAGGAAAAGGUGGCAGCAAUGAUCAGAGGGAAAAAACUUACAAAGAGAUCGAACUGAACUGGGGCGUAGAGAGAGAGAUCGGUCAGCUCCAGGCCCAGCGAGGAGACGAAGCUAAACACGCAUUCCCCAAGUUCCUCCUCUUUCUCUAACUCACGCUCGCAGAAGAUUUAAAUCUUCCUAGAAGGAAGCGGUGCCAAGAGAAGACCGUC